rnacentral:lncRNA from 1 species
UGAGGGCUUGUGACUCCCUCGUGGCCCAUCUGGCCUUCUCCUAAAGCUUCGAGGGUCUCUUUUGGUCCAAAAAAUCAUCGUAAAGUUUCAUUCCAUUUGGACUCCGUCUGAAAAUGGGCCAAAAACACGAAAAAAACAGAAACUGGCACUUGGCACUGAGUUAAUAGGUUAGUCCCAAAAAAGAUAUAAAAUAGCAUAUUCAUGCAUAUAAAACAUCCAAAGUUGACAAGAUAAUAGCAUGGAACCAUCAAAAAUUAUAGAUACAUUGGAGACGUAUCAAGCAUCCCCAAGCUUAACUCCUGCUCGUCCUCGAGUAGGGAAGUGAUAAAGAAUGAAUUUUUGAUGUUGCAUGCUACCUAGCAUAGAUGUCCUUUGUAACUCCUCUUAUGUGACAUGAAUGUUCAGAUCCAUUAGAUUCAAAACAAUAGUUUGCUAUUGACGUGGAAACAAUAAUAAUUCAAGCAAACUAGCAAGGUAAUCAUGAACUUUCAAAAUAACAAGGCCAAAAGAAAGUUAUCCCUACAAAAGCAUAUAGUCUUUCUAUGCUCUAUCAUCAUUGCACAACGAAUUUAAAUCAUGCACAAGCCCGAUAUUGGCCAAGUAAUUGUUUCACACCUUUACUUUCUCAAACCUUUUCAACUCUCACGCAAUACAUGAGCGUGAGUCAUGGUUUUAGCACUAUAAGUGGUGUGGUGUGUGGUGGAGGUUGCAAGACAAAAUAAGGAGAAGAUGAUCACAUUAACUAGGCAUAUCAAUGGCCUGUGGAGAUGCUCAUCAAUAGAUAUCAAUGUGAAUGAGUAGGGAUUGCCAUACAAAUGAUGCACUAGAGCUAAAAGUAUGUGAAAGCUCUUAAAGAAAACCAGUGGGUGUGCAUCCAACUUGCUUGCUCGCGAAGACCUAAGGCAAUUUUGAGGAAGCCUAUCAUUGGCAUAUACAAGCCAAGUUAUACAAUGAAAGUUUCCCACUAGCUAUAUGGUGAUGACAAAACGAGAGACUCUCAAUCAUGAAGAUCAUGGUGCUUAAUAUGCACAAGUGUGGAAAAGUGGUAGCAUUGUCCCUUCUCUCGUUUUCUCUCUCUUUUUUUGGUGGGCUCUUUGGCCUCUUUUUUUUGGUGGGCAUCUUUGGCCUCUUUUAUUUCCUCACAUGGGACAAUGCUCCAUCAAUACUGAUGAUCACACUUUCAACUCAAAACUUAGAGCAACGAUGACUCUAUAUGGAAUGCCUUCGGUAGUGUACCAUGACAAUGAUCUAGCAUGGCAUAAACAUUAAUGGAAACAUCAUGCUAGCUAUCUUGCGAUCAUGCAAUGACAAUGUAGACGUGGUGGCACAUGUCAUGGUGGUAUUUGCAUGGCAAUAUAUCUCGGAAUGACUUUGAAAAAGCCAUAGUAGGUAGGUAUGGUGGCUGUUUUGAGGGAGGCUAAUGGUGGGUUUUGUGCACCGGCGAAAGUUGCACGGCACUAAGAAGAUAGUGAUGGCGGAAGGUGAAAGUGCAUCUAAACCAUGGACUCAACAUUAGUCAUGAAGAACUCAUAUACUUUUGCAAAAGUUUUAUUAGUAAUCGAAACAAAGCAUUCAACGCAUACUCCUAGGGGAAGGGUUGGUAGGUAUAAACCAUCGCGCGAUCCCGACCGCCGCACAAAGGAUGACAAUCAAUAGACUAAUCAUGCUCAGAUUUCAUCACAUAGCGGUUCACCAUACGUGCAUGCUACGGGAAUCACUAACUUCAACACAAGUAUUUCUAGAUCCACAACACCUUACUAGCAUGACUUCAAUAUUACCAAAACCACAACUCAAAACUAAUUGAGAUGAAUCAAACUUCUCUAACUAUUCAAUGCACAUGAAGGUGGAAAUUUUCGUAUCCCUUUGGAUAACUACCCCUUUUGAGACUACUUUCAAAGCAUAGAUCAACUACCAAGCCACGCACCGCUACGCUCUAAAAUAUAUAAGUGAAGCACAUAGAGCAAAAGUAUCUAGCUCAAAAGAUAUAAGUGAAGCACAUGUGAGCUGAAUUGUCUACCAAAGGAUAUAAGUGAAGCUCGACAAAAUCACGGUGAGUGCAUGUCUCUCUCUCUAGGUGUGCAGCAAGGAUGAUUGUGACACAACAAAAAUAAAAGACUCCUACGAUACAAGAUGCUCCAAGCAAAAACACAUAACAUGUGGUGAAUAAAAAUAUAGCCCCAAGUAACGUUACCGAUGGAUUGAAGACGAAAGAGGGGAUGCCUUCCCGGGGCAUCCCAAUCUUAGGCUUUUACGGCAUCCUUGAAUCUAUUGGGGUGCCUUGGGCAUCCCCAAUCUUGAGCUCUUGCCACUCUUUAUCUCUUUGUCCAUAAGAACUUCACCCAAAAUUUGAAAACUUCACAACACGAAACUUAAACAGAAACUCGUGAUAACAUUAGUAUGAGAAAGCAAACCACCACUUCCUUAGGUAAUGUAGCAAACUGAAAUUCUACUUAUGCUGAUGUUGGGUUACUGCAUUUUCAGUCUUACAUGGCUAAUACCCUCCGAUACUAUCCAUAGUUUCAUCAAAAUAAACAACCAACACAACAAAAACAGAAUCUGUUAACAACAGACCAGUCUGUAGCAAUCUGUAUAUUUCGUAUACCUCUGGUACUUCAGAAAUUGUGAAAGAUUACGCCAGUCUGAAGAAUUUUCGUAGCAAUUAGCAGCAAAAAGAAUCAACUCAAAAUCUCUCACAGAAAAAAAUGAAAAUUCUUUUCGUGAGUAGAAAGUUUCUGUCUUUUCCAGCAUGACCAAACGAUCAUCCCCAAGACUAAUCAUAACGGUUUUGCUUGGCACAAACGCAAAAAGAAACACAAAAACACAAUCAUAACAGAAUUAUGAAAGUGUGGAAAACAAAAAACAACAAUAAAAAGGAUAGAUUCGUUGGAUUGCCUCCCAACAAGCGCUAUCGUUUAACGCCCUUAGCUAGGCAUUGAUUUCAAUGAUGCUCACAUAAAAGGUAAGGAUUGAAACACAACGAGAGCAUCAUGGAGCAAAUGGCUAGCACAUUUAAGUCUAAUCCACUUCCUAUGCAUUGGGAUUUUAUGAUCAAACAAUUUAUUGGAGAAAGAAUCAACUAGCAUAGGAAGGCAAAACAAGCAUAGCUUCAAAAUUUUCAACAUAUGGAGAGGAAGCUUGAUACUAUUGCAAUAAGUAGAAGCAUAUGAACCUCUCUCAUAGUAAUUUUUAGUAGCAUCAUGAAUAAAUUCAACAAUAUAACCAGCACCUAAGGCUUUCUUUUCAUGAUCUACAAGCAUAGGAAUUUUACUACUCUCCACAUAAGGAAAUCUAUUCUCAAGAAUAGUAGUGGGAGUAUCGUGAAAGACUUGAGCACUACAAAUUGUGUCCACAAUGAAAAAGCAAGGUUUAGCAAAAGGGUUCUCGAGAGUAUGACAAGUUUUAUCAUCCCUCUUCUUUAAAGCAUAAGUAUCCUCACAAUAAUCACAUGCUUUCAUCAAAAUAAUUUUGAUCAUUCAAAGUGGAAGAACUAAAAAGAUCAUCUUCAUCAAAUAUAGCAUCCCCAAGCUUGUGGCUUUGCAUAACAUUAGCAUCAUGGGUAUUCAAAGAAUUCAUGCUAAAAACAUUGCAAUCAUGCUCAUCCUUCACAUAUUCUAUGCCAAUCAUUCUAUGUAAUUCUUCUUUCAGCACUUGAGCACAAUUUUCCUUCCCAUCAUGCUCAUGAAAGACAUUGAAAAGAUGGAGCAUAUGAGGCAUCCUCAAUUCCAUUUUUUUUAGUUUUCAGCGAAAGAACAAGAAACAAAAAGAUUCGAUUGCAAGAUCUAAAGAUAUACCUUCAAGCGCUAACCUCCCCGACAAUGGCGCCAGAAAAGAGCUUCGUUGACGGGAUGUUAGUGUCGCUUACCUAGCCUCCUCGGCAACGGCGGCAGAAAAGAGCUUGAUGUCUACUAUGCAACCUUCUCCUUGUAGACGUUGUUGGGCCUCCAAGUGCAGAGGGUUGUAGGACAGUAGCAAUUUUCCCUCGAGUGGGUGACCUAAGGUUUAUGAAUCCGCGGGAGGCGUAGGAUGAAGAUGGUCUCUCUCAAGCAACCCUGCAACCAAAUAACAAAGAGUCUCUUGUGUCCCCAACACACCUAAUACAAUGGUAAGUUGUAUAGGUGCACUAGUUCGGCGAAGAGAUGGUGAUACAAGUGCAAUAUGGAUGGUAGAUAUAGGUUUUUGUAAUCUAAAAUUACAAAAACAACAAGGAAACAAAUGGUAAAAGUGAGCACGAACGGUAUUGCAAUGCGUGGAAACAAGGCCUAGGGUUCAUACUUUCACUAGCGAAGUUCUCUCAACAAUGAUAACAUAAUUGGAUCAUAUAACUAGCCCUCAACAUGCAACAAAGAGUCACUCCAAAGUCACUAAUAGCGGAGAACAGACGAAGAGAUUAUUGUCGGGUACGAAACCACCAAAAAGUUAUUCUUUCUAAUCGAUCUAUCAUAGAGUUCGUACUAGAAUAACACCUUAAGAUACAUAUCAACCAAGACCCUAAUGUCACCUAGAUACUCCAUUGUCACCUCAAGUAUCCGUGGGUAUGAUUAUACGAUAUGCAUCACACAAUCUCGAAUCAUCUAUUCAACCAACACAUAGAACAUCAAAGAGUGCCCCAAAGUUUCUACCAGCGAGUCAAAACGUGUGCCAACCCCUAUUCAUAGGUUCCCAAUGUCACGAACCCGCAAGUUGAUCACCAAAACAUACAUCAAGUACUCACAUGAAUCCAUGUGUGCCAACCCAUAUGCAUAGGUUCCCAGUUGUCACAAACCCACAAGUUGAUCACAGCAGAUAGACACGUGCAAGACAUACAUCAAGUGUUCUCAAAGACUCAAUUCGAUAAGAUAACUCCAAAGGGGAAACUCAAUUCAUUACAAGAAGAAGAGGGGGAAGAAGAUCAUAAGAUCCAACUAUAGUAGCAAAGCCCAUGGUACAUCGAGAUCAAGACAUCUCAAGAACACGAGAGAGAGAGAGAGAUCAAACACAUAGCUACUGGUACAUACCCUCAGCCCCGAGGGAGAACUACUCCCUCCUCGUCAUGGAGAUCGCCGGGAUGAUGAAGAUGGCCACCGGAGAUGGAUUCCCCUCCGACAGGGUGCCAGAACGGGCUCCAGAUUGGUUUUUGGUGGCUACAGAGGCUUGCGGCGGCGGAACUCCCGAUCUAGGUUUCUUUUUGGGGGUUUCUGAAUUUAUAGGAAUUUAUGGCGGUGGAAUUACGUCGGUUGGGCCCACGAGGAGGUCAUAAGCCUGCUCGCCACCACCAGGGGGGGUGGUGGCGGCGGCGUGAGGGCUUGUGACUCCCUCGUGUCCCAUCUGGCCUUCUCCCAAAGCUUCGGGGGUCUCUUUUGGUCCAAAAAAAAUCAUGUAAAGUUUCAUUCCAUUUGGACUCCGUCUGAAAAUGGGCCAAAAACACGAAAAAAACAGAAACUGGCACUUGGCACUGAGUUAAUAGGUUAGUCCCAAAAAAGAUAUAAAAUAGCAUAUUCAUGCAUAUAAAACAUCCAAAGUUGACAAGAUAAUAGCAUGGAAC